rnacentral:rRNA from 1 species
GACGAACGCUGGCGGCGUGCCUAAUACAUGCAAGUCGAACGCUGAAGAGAGGAGCUUGCUCUUCUUGGAUGAGUUGCGAACGGGUGAGUAACGCGUAGGUAACCUGCCUUGUAGCGGGGGAUAACUAUUGGAAACGAUAGCUAAUACCGCAUAACAAUGGAUGACACAUGUCAUUUAUUUGAAAGGGGCAAUUGCUCCACUACAAGAUGGACCUGCGUUGUAUUAGCUAGUAGGUGAGGUAAUGGCUCACCUAGGCGACGAUACAUAGCCGACCUGAGAGGAUGAUCGGCCACACUGGGACUGAGACACGGCCCAGACUCCUACAGGAGGCAGCAGUAGGGAAUCGUCGGCAAUGGGGGCAACCCUGACCGAGCAACGCCGCGUGAGUGAAGAAGGUUGUCGGAUCGUAAAGCUCGGUUGUAAGUCAAGAACGGGUGUGAGAGUGGAAAGUUCACACUGUGACGGUAGCUUACCAGAAAGGGACGGCUAACUACGUG